rnacentral:rRNA from 1 species
GAUGAACGCUGGCGGCGUGCUUAACACAUGCAAGUCGAACGGUGAAGGCGGAGCUUGCUCUGCUGGAUCAGUGGCGAACGGGUGAGUAACACGUGAGCAAUCUGCCCCUGACUCUGGGAUAAGCGCUGGAAACGGCGUCUAAUACUGGAUACGAGCUGCGAAGGCAUCUUCAGCAGCUGGAAAGAAUUUCGGUCAGGGAUGAGCUCGCGGCCUAUCAGCUUGUUGGUGAGGUAAUGGCUCACCAAGGCGUCGACGGGUAGCCGGCCUGAGAGGGUGACCGGCCACACUGGGACUGAGACACGGCCCAGACUCCUACGGGAGGCAGCAGUGGGGAAUAUUGCACAAUGGGCGAAAGCCUGAUGCAGCAACGCCGCGUGAGGGACGACGGCCCUCGGGUUGUAAACCUCUUUUAGCAGGGAAGAAGCGAAAGUGACGGUACCUACAGAAAAAGCGCCGGCUAACUACGUG